rnacentral:rRNA from 1 species
ACUGGGCGUAAAGCGAGCGCAGACGGUUACUUAAGCAGGAUGUGAAAUCCCCGGGCUCAACCUGGGAACUGCGUUCUGAACUGGGUGACUAGAGUGUGUCAGAGGGAGGUAGAAUUCCACGUGUAGCAGUGAAAUGCGUAGAGAUGUGGAGGAAUACCGAUGGCGAAGGCAGCCUCCUGGGAUAACACUGACGUUCAUGCUCGAAAGCGUGGGUAGCAAACAGGAUUAGAUACCCUGGUAGUCCACGCCCUAAACGAUGUCAAUUAGCUGUUGGGCAACUUGAUUGCUUAGUAGCGUAGCUAACGCGUGAAAUUGACCGCCUGGGGAGUACGGUCGCAAGAUUAAAACUCAAAGGAAUUGACGGGGGCCCGCACAAGCGGAGGAACAUGUGGUUUAAUUCGAUGAUACGCGAGGAACCUUACCCGGGCU